rnacentral:tRNA from 1 species
UAGGUAUAGCCGGCCGGCGCGGUGCGGCUGUCGAUCGGCCGGACCGGCGCCGUCGCGCUCGGCACGUUCCAGUCGAGCAUGCGCGC